CAAAUGACACAUAAAACGCG
rnacentral:snRNA from 1 species